rnacentral:rRNA from 1 species
UAUCAAAACAUCGCCUCUUGCUAAUCGAAAGUAUAAGAGGUCCCGCCUGCCUGUGACUAUAUGUUAACGGCCGCGGUAUUUUGACCGUGCGAAGGUAGCGCAAUCACUUGUCUUUUAAAUGGGGACCUGUAUGAAUGGCAUAACGAGGGCUUGACUGUCUCCUCUUUCAAGUCAAUGAAAUUGAUCUCCCCGUGCAGAAGCGGGGAUGUAUACAUAAGACGAGAAGACCCUAUGGAGCUUUAGACACUAAAGCAGAUCAGCAUUAAUACCCUGAACAUAGGGCACGAAUAUACUGAAUCCUGCCCUAAUGUCUUAGGUUGGGGCGACCGCGGAGAAACAAAAAACCCCCGCAAGGACCGAAUGUACUACAUUCACAACCAAGAGCGACAGCUCUAAUUAACAGAUAUUUCUGACCAAUAAGAUCCGGCAACGCCGAUUAAUGAACCAAGUUACCCUAGGGAUAACAGCGCAAUCUCCUCUUAGAGCCCGUAUCAACGAGGAGGUUUACGACCUCGAUGUUGGAUCAGGACAUCCUAAUGGUGCAGCCGCUAUUAAGGGUUCGUUUUGUUCAACGAUUAAAGUCCUACGUGAUCUGAGUU